AAAGACCAAGUCAAUCUAGAAAAAUUAUGUAGCCCAAAGAACAUAAAAGUGGUACAUUAUAUUUGUGACAUACUUUUAUCACUCACAAAUGUAUUUGUUACAGAAAAAUUAUAAGCAUUAGAUCACGGUUAAUGCAGACAUACAAGGUUAACAGCUCUUUGUUUAACAGCUUUAAAGUUCUCAAACGUGUUAAAGAUACAAGUUAUUACAUUUAUUAACUGCUGAAUAUUUUUUUUAUCUCUCCAGAUCUUUCUGAACUUCAACAAAAGUCUAUAGCUGCAAGGCAAAGAAGAUAUGGCAGCCAAAGUAUAACCCUAUAACAAGACUUGCACUGACACACAGAAGAAAUAUCUGCCAAAAAUCUGCCAAAAAAUAUCAGAUGGCUGAAGGUCAUACAAACUGGACCACCAUGUUCUUACAAAUCCUGUUCCUAAUAUGUUCAGUUUGUAAUACUUAUGGUGUUGCUAGUGCUGCAUCACCAUCGUGUCCCGGGGAUGAAUACAGAGCGGGACAGGUCUGCUGCCUUGCAUGUCCUGGUGGAUAUAGGGUUCAUAGGGAUUGCACAGCGACAGCCAAUACAUUGUGCUCAAAGUGCCCCGAUGGUACUUUCAAAGAAGGCCUUAGCGGACAGAAGCAAUGCUCUAACUGUACAAUGUGUGUCACAGGUACAUCUAUAUUUUUAAAUAGAAAUGCCCCAAUGCAACCCCUAUCUGUUGUGUUGUCCAUGUUUAUAUCAGAAGUUUUGUGGUUCAUGUUAAUAUCAGAGAAGUUGUGUUGUUCAUGUUGAUAUCAGAAGUUGUGUUCAUGUUUACAUUAGAAGUUGUGUUGUCCAUGUUUAUAUCAGAAGUUGUGUUGUUCAUGUAAUAUCAGAAGUUGUGUACUCUCUGGUUGUCUCAGGUUCCUCUGUAACUGUUGUGAUUGACAGGUCUGAAGGUUAAGAAGAAGUGUACUCCAACAUCAGACACCGAGUGUGAGAUCCUGGAUGGAUUCUUCUGUAGUGUCUCAGCAGAUAAAGACACAUUCUCAGAGGCCACAUUGUCAUGCCAACACCACACAAUGUAAGUGGAGUUAAUUGAAUAUUCAAUACAUACAGUACAAUAAUGGUAUGUUAAGAAUUAGGCCUGGGCAAUAUGUCCCAGGCUUUAUUUAGGGACCGGGUCGGCAGGCAGAGGGUAGUCGGCAGGCAGAGGUCGGCAACGGGAGGGCAGAUGGACGGACCAGGAAUAAGGAACGGGUAAGCAGACAAACCGACAGGGACUCGACGGCAGGCAGGAUAGUCAGACAGUCAGAGGUCAGCAACGGGGGGCAGGCUGGUGGAUCGGGAGCCGGGGACAGAAGAGCAGACGGACCGACAGGGGCUGGGCGGCAGGCGAGGUAGUCAGACAGGCAGGAAUCGGCAACUGGAAGGAUUGGAGAAGAAUCUGGAAUCAAGUCGCGGGAAAGCUCUGAGAAACUCUGGAGACAAUCUGGCAGGGAAUGUUUGGAAGGAGAGGACUGAUAUAGGGGGAGCACAGGUGAAGGUGAUUGGGUUAAUUAGGAGAGAUCAGGGUGGCAGGCAGGUGAAAGGGAAAACCAGGGGCGGACCAUGACACCCUUAGCCUUUGGAAUUAAAAUAGCCCCACAUAAUUACAUACCCUUCAUCAUACCUAGAGAUUGGGAUGGUUUUAUUUCAGUUAGCCCAUUAGCUGGUUUGAUUUGCAUUGAGAAAUCAUUAGGCUAACUAACAGCUAUUAGGCUAACUGAAAAGAACUAUGCCAAUCUCUAGGUAUGGUGAAGGGUAUGUGGUGAUGUGGGGCUAUUUUAAUUCCAAAGGCUAAGUGAACUUAAUGAGGAUGCAUAGUAUCCUGGAUCCAUGAAAUAACUGGCUUUUAAAAAUUAAAAUCUGCCUACCUAUAUGGGAAUUUAACUUGGGAGUGUCUAUACUUAUGCACCCUGUAUUUUAAUGGAGAACAUUUAUUUAUUGACGAUACAUUAUUCAGGUCAUUAGGAACAGGUAGGGGUCAGGCAUCUAGCUCAAUAACCUUCCUGAAGGCCUACAGGUUGGUUGUGGACAUUGGGGAUCGAACCCAGUACCUUUUCAACCUGGAGUCCAACACUCAGUCCACUCUUAGAACUAAACGUGGUUUUGUCCUUCUGGUUUCAGAUGUGAUUCUGGGGUGCAGAUACAACCAGGAACUGAUUCAACUGAUUAUACAUGUAUUACAUAUGUGGCAAUCGUGUUCAUAAUAAUAGGAUCCAUAUCUUUCAUUAUAUUGUUAGUCCUGGGAGGUAAGCGUUACAUUCAACUCUUUUACGCAUCAUGUUACAUUCAACUCUUAACAUCUAUCAUGGUUACAUUAACCUUACAUAUAUCAUAUUACAUUAAACUCUGACAAGCAUCAUGGUUACGUUCAACUGUAACAUGAAUCAUUAUUACAUUCAACUAACAUAUGUAUCAUAGUUAGAUUAAACUAGCAUGUAUCAUGUUACAUUCAACUAACAUGUAUCAGGGUAAUGCUGAAUGAUAGAGACUUCUGUCCUGACAUGUGUUGUUUAUCACUUCAUAGCAUUGGUUUAUAGAAGACUGAAAAUGGAAAAGGAUUUAACUGGUAAGUUCUUAUCCCACAUGUUUCACUUUGUAAAUGAGUAACAGAUCAUUUAUUAAUAUCCAGUCAUUUGCAAGGGUUAUUGACACCAAGUCAAAUGAUAACCCUCUGAUUCAAAACAUUUCAUCUAAUUGAGAGUCGGUGCCUACUGAACAACAUCAUCUAGAUAUUAGAUUAUAGAAUGGAGCUAUCCAUGUAUAUAAGACACUACUCUCAUAGCUGGGGCGAUGUGGCCAGCAUAACGUCAGCUCAGUGGCGUUUAUAACGUAGCUCACUGAGUCGUCAUGACAACACAGAGCAGGGACGAAGGGUAGAAAGACUUCUGUCCUUGUUUGACCACGAUAAUGUCAGCCGUCUCCCUACACGUAUUCAGUCUGUCAAGAUGUUCUUCUGUGUAGAGGCUAAUUCAGAGUGGAAACCAGGAACUGAUUCAACGGAUUCUACAUUAGAAUGUAUGGAGCAGUUCAUAAUAAUAGGAUGGAUACGUUUAAUAAUAUCAAUCAUAGUCCUGGGACUUAAGGGAUACAUUGAACUCUAACAUGUCUCAUAUUACAUUAAACUAACAUGUAUCAUGGUUAGAUUUAACUAACAUUUAUCAUUGUUAGGCUAAACUAAAAUGUUUUAUGGUUAUAUUAAACUAACAUGAAUCAUGUUACAUUAAACUCUAACAUGUAUCAUGGUUACAUCAACUAACAUGUUUCAUGUUACAUUAUACUAACAUGUAUCAUAUUGUGGAGUGCGGUAAAUGACGAGACAAGAGACGGAGA
ensembl:lncRNA